UGGCUCAGUCGGUGGAGCAUGGCACCUACAAUGCCAAGGGUCAUGGGUUCGAGUCCCACU
rnacentral:tRNA from 1 species